rnacentral:lncRNA from 1 species
UUUCUGGUAGACCAAAGGAAAAGGCCAACAACAAACAAUUUCUAAAUAAGAAAUUUCCACCUUAGCUAAAAGCAAAAGGCCUUUGAUACUCUAUAAGAUUGAUCAACUCACUUCAGUUGAAAUAAUGGUUUUCUGAAGUCAAGGCAUGAACAGCCUUUCCCCACUGGAUGGGAUGCUCAGAUUACCAGCCCUGGAAUGAAACAAAAGGAGAAGACUGUCUCACCCCACACUUCUCAACCAUUGGCCAUUCUGAGAUGACACCUGCAGAGCCACAGCCCCACCUGCCCGAGCACCCACGGGUGCCUUGGUCAUCCUGCACCAUGGAGCUGCUUGUCUCUCCUCUGUGCUCACAAUGCUGUGUGUCCUCUCUGUUGCACCUAAAACUCUUCAUCAAGUAACCAGGCGAAGAGGUCUGUCUUCUCUUCCAGAAGCCCAAGAUCCCUUUUCCAAGGACUGUCUGGAUGCCCCUGCCUUGAAUCUGAGUUUUAUCUUCUGCAGACCUGGGCUUAAUUUGCUG